CAGUAGCCGCGGGAAUACGUAGGGUGCAAGCGUUGUCCGGAAUUAUUGGGCGUAAAGAGCUCGUAGGCGGUUUGUCGCGUCUGCUGUGAAAUCUGGGGGCUCAACCCCCAGCCUGCAGUGGGUACGGGCAGACUAGAGUGCGGUAGGGGAGAUUGGAAUUCCUGGUGUAGCGGUGGAAUGCGCAGAUAUCAGGAGGAACACCGAUGGCGAAGGCAGAUCUCUGGGCCGUAACUGACGCUGAGGAGCGAAAGCAUGGGGAGCGAACAGGAUUAGAUACCCCUGUAGUCCCUGUCUCUUAUAA
rnacentral:rRNA from 1 species